rnacentral:tRNA from 1 species
GGCUCGUUGGUCUAGGGGUAUGAUUCUCGCUUUGGGUGCGAGAGGUCCCGGGUUCAACUCCAGGACGAGCCC